CGACGGGAGUAGACAAUACAACGUGGUGGCCGACCGGCGCGACGGGUGAGUAACGCGUAUGACCAACCUACCUAUCAGGAAGGGGAACUAACCCGGCGAAAGUCGGACUAAUACCGCAUAAAACAGGGGCACCGCAUGGUGAUAUUUGUUAAAGAAAUUCGCUGAUAGAUGGGCAUGCGUUCCAUUAGGUAGUUGGUGAGGUAACGGCUCACCAAGCCGACGAUGGAUAGGGGAACUGAGAGGUUGGUCCCCCACACUGGUACUGAGACACGGACCAGACUCCUACGGGAGGCAGCAGUGAGGAAUAUUGGUCAAUGGGCGGGAGCCUGAACCAGCCAAGUCGCGUGAAGGAAGAAGGAUCUAUGGUUCGUAAACUUCUUUUGCAGGGGAAUAAAGUGCAGGACGUGUCCUGUUUUGUAUGUACCCUGAGAAUAAGGAUCGGCUAACUCCGUGCCAGCAGCCGC
rnacentral:rRNA from 1 species